UAUUUUUAAAUAAUAUGAUAUGUUGAUGUAAAAAAAUAAAAAUAAAAGAACUGAAACGGCAACCAAAAAAAAAUCUGAAAGAAAUAUCGAAGCCACUCUUUUGACGAUCACUGAGAUUCAUUUCGAUCGAUUCUUCCCUAAAAUCUUCCUCUUUUUGAGUUUUUACAAGUGCUCUGGUAAUAUGUGAAUUCUGCUUUCCCUCUCCCGUUGAAUGAACUAACAAAGGGGCUGCACUCGUCUCCCGAGCCAGAGAGCAAGACAAAAUUAGAGGCCUGAAAAAGAUCUCCGUAGUCCAGAAGUUGCUCCUGGGCUCCUACCCAUCUCUCAGUCUCGCUAAAGGAAGCGUGCACUGGUGGUCGAUAGAAGCUGAAAAAAAGUAAAGAAAGGGAUAAAAGAAAACUAAGUUCGGCUUUCGUCUCUUGUUCAACAAGAACAAUACCUAUCAGAUCGAUCUAAGUCUUACAAACAAAUAAAAAAAACAUCUUAACUACGUUAAACUCACAAAUCCCAAUACUCUUUGGUGUUCCUUUCUCUCUCUCAUUCUUCAUGCACAUUUGCGUUGCACAAUCCGAUUUGGAUAAGAUUAAUAUAAAGAAGACGACUUGAUGAAUGAUGUGGAAUGGAAACAGUGAGUUUUGAGGUGAGACAUUGUCGUCGUCGUCGUCGUCGUCGUUUUGGUGUUGGUGGUGAAGGGAUUGUAAAGUUAUGGCGGAAACAGAGAUAGGAAUGUCAACAGAUAACAUAAAGGGAUUGGUGUUGGCAUUGUCUUCGAGUUUAUUUAUAGGAGCCAGUUUUAUUGUUAAGAAAAAAGGGUUGAAGAAAGCUGGUGCUUCUGGUAUUAGGGCAGGUGCUGGGGGUUAUACUUACCUGUUUGAACCACUUUGGUGGAUUGGCAUGAUAACAAUGAUUGCUGGGGAAAUUGCUAAUUUUGCAGCCUAUGCAUUUGCACCAGCUAUUCUAGUCACUCCUCUUGGUGCACUCAGUAUCAUUAUCAGUGCUGCUCUUGCACAUGCUAUUUUACAGGAAAAGUUGCACACUUUUGGGAUUCUUGGUUGUGCUCUUUGUGUUGUGGGUUCAACGACAAUUGUUUUGCAUGCACCUCAAGAACGUGAGAUUGAGUCCGUGAAGGAAGUGUGGGACCUUGCAACAGAGCCAGCUUUUCUCUUGUAUGCUGCUAUUGUCAUAACAGCUGCUGUUGUGAUUAUCAUCCGUGUUAUACCCCAUUAUGGGCAGACUCAUGUUAUGGUCUAUAUUUCAAUUUGUUCGCUCAUGGGCUCACUAUCGGUUAUGAGUGUCAAAGCACUUGGAAUCGCUUUGAAGCUGACUUUCUCGGGAAUGAAUCAGUUACUACACCCCCAAACAUGGGCUUUUACCUUGAUUGUACUUGCCUGUGUAAUCACUCAAAUCAAUUACUUAAACAAGGCUCUUGAUACAUUCAAUGCAGCUGUUGUAUCUCCCAUAUACUAUGUGAUGUUUACUUCAUUAACAAUUUUGGCUAGCGUAAUCAUGUUUAAGGAUUGGGAUGGAAAGAACGCAUCUCAAAUUGUCACUGAAAUAUGUGGAUUUGUGACGAUCCUUUCUGGGACUUUUCUUCUUCAUGAAACGAAGGACAUGGUUGAAGGGUCAUCACAAUCUUCAUCAUUGCGCCUUCCUAAGCAUGAAGAAGAAGAUGAAGGACUUGACCCCGAAGGAAUCCCUCUACGACAAGUAGACACUCUGAGACCAAAAUAGUUGUAUUCUUUGAUUCUUUUUGUUACUGUCAUUCAAGAUCUUGGGUGCUGAUUUGGGGCAGAAAGGGAAUUCCAGCCACAGACCUGUGUCUUAUCAACACACUGGGCGGGUUCUUUAUUUUCUUUGAGUAAACAAUGGGCGAAGAUGGCAAGACUUCUUUCUCAGAUAAAAAAAGGAGAUGGUCUCUUUCAGCUGCCGCCAUAUAGCGACCUUCAAGUUGACCUCAAGUGUGGGUAGCGAGCAUCUCAACAAAGAAUUGAAGGUUAUGCUUAGUAUAUGCAGGAUACAGAGUGUUUUGUACUAGAAAGUUCUAUGUUUCACAUAAAUUAUUGUCCAAGUUGCUUUAGAUUAACUCAUGAUUUAACUUUCAAUUGCUAUCAUGCAACCACUAAAGGAGUGGACUUGGACUUGCUCAUUUUAGACCUCCAGGAUUCUUAUUUUUGUAUAGCUUGCUGUGUCAGGUGAGCUCUAUAUAUGGAAAAAAGACAGUAUUUGGCUGGCUUAGUGGAGCUGUGACAUUUGAAAUGCAAAUUUCCCAAUCAGAGAAUGUUGCCAUGCAAUCUCUUUCAAAGCUCUCGAGUCAGCACCACAAACGUUGCCAAAUGGGCUUUGAAGAAGCCAACUCCUGCUACCAAGCCGGCGGUGGAUGAGAUCUCCUUGGCAUGCUUCUGCUGCCUUUUAUUUUCUAUUCCUUGGAAAACAUUAGAGUAAACCAACUAUAAUCUCGUCAACAUAAAAUUAAUAGAUACUGAUGGCUCUUUAAAGCUGUAUAAAACUCUUGAAAGAAAUAAAAAAUCAUUUCAGUAUAA